ACCUUGGUAUCUCUAAUAUCUCUUUCAGAUCUAAAAUACCAUUUUAUUUUUAUGUUCCUUAUAGGCUCAGAACCUUCAUCUUACAGUAUCCUUGGAACAAAUGUUAUUUUCCUUAUUUUACAAAUGGAACAACUGGAUCCAGUAGGAUAUUAAAGCUCCAGGUAGUUCUUCUUUUGAAAGCUAGUAGUUGGCCUGGCUUUUGAGUUGUUUUCUUGGCUGGCAAAAUGACGAGGGAAAGUUUGGGGCAGGCUUUGCUCCCAGUCUGGAAGGACUCCACCUGUAAGUGGGAGCAGACCAAAUCCUUUUCCUCAUUUUGACAAAUGCCGAUAUUCAAGAACAAUUGACAAGGGCACUUUCCGGAACGAUCAAAUCUCCAAUCCUUCAACACGUAGCAAUUUAUAGAAUGAUGGCGCCUAGGCAACUUGCUUAGGAAAAGGAAUCCUUAAGGAUUUCUGACUUUACAGAACAAUUGGAGAGGAAGAGGAGAAGAAUCUGACAGGGGUCUUGGUCUAUGUCCACUUAAUGUGGGGGCUGCAGUAAUGCUUGUUUAAUCUUGGGCGACAGGCUUCCAUUUCCUGGGCUGCAAACUGGCAAGUUACUACCUUUUUUAGAAUUGUUGCAGCAUUGCCAUUAAAUAAUACAAUGUAUCUGGAUGUCCAGCACAGAUCCUGGUACAAAUGAAGUGCUCAAUAAGUGCUAGUUGCUCUGUGGUGGUGAUGCCACUUGACUCCAUCCAUCUGUUUUCCAUCUCCAGUCCCGGUUGACUGCUGGGAAAUACGAUUAUUGUAAUCAUGCACAACUCUUCAGCAUUAUCUUUUGCAUGGAUAAUAAGAAACACCCUUGGGCAUGCUGCCUGGGAGAAGAAUCUUCCUUGGGUUAUAUUCUGUAUAGUUCCCGUAAGUUCAUUUUCAAUUAGAGUUGGAAGAGGUCUCUGUGGUUACCUAGUCUGCCCUGGUUCCAGGCCAUGCCUCUGAUGGUUCGGUACAUUUGGUUUCUGUUCAACACAUGUUUAUUGAACCUCUGUGCUCUGUUCCCUGUUUAUGAAAUUCACCCGAUCAAAAUGAGUUCUCCAUGAUUGGCCAAAACGGUAUGGACACAGGGACGUGCGGUCAUAAGAGGAGGAAGUUUGCAUGUGACCGCUCUUUGGGAUUUUGGUCACCCAUUCUCUACUCUCCUUUUCCCCCUAAGAGAACCCCCUUUUUUUCAGGUAUAGUUACUGUUCCCACAUUCAGCCCAUGUGCCUAAGGAAAAGCUGGCCCCAUCUUGAUCUCCAUCCAAAAUCUGCUUAGUUUAAGAGCAGCCUUACCCUGAUUGGCAGUGAUUGGCUCAAUAAUAGACAUCCCGGCUUUAAGCUACAUAAACAAAACAAUCUCCAUGUUGCCUAAACCAAUCUGAGUUGGGUUUUCUGGGAUUUGGAAUCAAAACUAUUCUGAUCCACCCACUGCACAUGAAUCAGCUCUAUUUAGUACUGUUAGAAUUUCUGACUGAGCCUUUUCUUUCUUUCUUUUUUUUUCUUUUUUUUUUUUUUGUCUUUUUGUCUUUUCUAGGCCUGGGAACCUCCAUAUGCUGCAGGUGGGGCCCUAAAAAGACGAAAAGACACACACACACAAAAAGAAGUGGUAGUGUCAUGUAACAUAAAAUCAAAUAAUUAAAGACAAGGAGUAGAAAAAAUGGUGUAGUUUGUGGAUAGGGAGUUCCUCUGCUCCUCCAUACAUACCCCUGUCCUUGCGUAUCCCUAAGGAGGUAGGAUGGCAUAUCUGAUGGGUAGAUUUAGAGAGGAAAAUUGGAGAUGCUUAGCUUAGCUCAUCAUUUUCUUUUUCCUCUUGGGACUGGGUGUGUCCAAAGGAAGCGGGAAUUCUCUUCUACCCUCUAUACUGUGAAUCUUACCUAGACAAACUCAUUGCAAAAAAGUCUGCCCUGGUCCAGCUUUGCUUGUGAUUGGUGAGGAAGUCUGGCCAGCUUGUGUGGCUCUUACUAAAUUACUUAGCUUACACUCAGCUCACCUCUGUGACAAAUCAGAGUGAUUUUUUUUUUUUUCUUCUUUUUUAAGGCCACUCCGGCGGCACUUAGAGGUUCCCAGGCUAGGGGUUGAAUCAGUGCUGCAGCUGCCAGCCUACACCACAGCCACAGCAAUGAAGGAUCUGAGCCACAUCUGCGACCUAUACCGCAGCUCACGGCAACACUGGAUUCUUAAUCCACUGAGCGAGGCGAGGGAUAGAACCUGUGUCCUCUUGGAUACUUGUCAGGUUUGUUACUGCUGAGCCAUGACAGGAACUCCCAGAGCGAUAUUUUGAUCACCAUCUUUACUUGUUUAUUUUGUUCCCUGGGUUUUUUAGAACCAAGGUUAUUUUUUGGACACCCAACAGAGUUGAUUCUCAUUAUAAGCAGGGAAUUGUCAAAAAAAUCAUCGCCUGGGGUAAAAACACUGUAAGAAUCAUUCCUCACUAAUUAAAAUGGUAGGGCUGGUCCCAGCUUGCAUAUCUUCUUUUUUAUCUUUAGUUAAAAUGAGUUCUUACCCAUUUGGGUCAUCAGUUCAUGGAGAGGCUGGUGAUAGAUACAGCCCCUCUUCCCAGAAACACACCAGCACACAAUUUUUUAUAUAAUGUCAGGGUAUGCGUGUUGCCCCCUCCAAAUCUACCCUGGAACCCUUGUAUGUCCAUGUAUCUCACGUUCAGACUCUUGAGUUAAAUCCUCAGAAGAUAGCUCUGGGUAUAAAGUGAAGAAGGAAGGAAGGAAGGAAGAGAGAGAGAGAGAAAGAAAGAGAGAGAGAGGGAGAGAAGACAGAGUCACACAGAGGAUUUAAGCAGAGCGAACUUGAUGAAGAGACACUCAAGUAUAGGCAGUAUUAUGAUAACUAACCACAGGGUUGGGGCACUCAGAGGCUGACAACCUGGGAAGGUGGUACCACCUUCAGGAUCAAAGGAGCAAGGAGAAGAGAUAGUAUGACUAAGCCUGGCAAGAGCUUGGAUGCUUUGCAGCAGGGAGCUGUGUCACACAAGGAUGCAAACACGCCCUCCAGCUCUUUCUGUCUCUGACCCCUGAUCUCCUGCUGAGGCCUCCUUUUGGCCAACCUUGACCAGAAGCCAGGAGAUAGGGGAGCUCAUGGGGGGGAGGUAUUUCAUAGGGGCAGCAUCUUGGGCACAGAGCAGGGCCAUGAAGAGUGGAAUGAAAAUAGGAGGCAAACACAAUGACCAGGAUAGAGCAUCAGGCAAAACUAAAGAGACUGGUGGGGUUAGGAGUCUGAGUGAUGCACAUGGGUGCUGGGGAGGCACUGACCAGUUCUUGGGCACUGUACCUAGACUAGAGAUGUGUGCUGAGGGAAGGUCCAGAGGGAAGGUCAUCUGAGUAUGGAAGAAUGAAGCCCCAAGAGGCUUUACAGAAAAAAACCUGCCCACCUCUUCUCUAGACCAAAAGAUAAACAGCUCUUAAAUUGUAAAUCUGGAUAGUAUAUGCAAUUUAAAACUGAGAAAAUUUUCUUGGAGCUAGUUGAAUUUGAAGAGGAAUUAGGAGAAGCCAAAGAUACAUUUGUUUUUAGUUAUCAUUUGUCUCACACAUGCAUUUCAAAAUGCUAGGAUUAAUUGCCAGCUUUGUAAACAAACAUUAGACAGUAGAAUAUGCAAAGAAAAGAGGAGAAGAAAAGAUGUGUGGACAGACAUAGCGAACAGACUUGUGCUUACUGGGCAGAGGGCAGAGGGAGUGGGAUAGAUGGGGUGUUUGGGGUUAGCAGAUGCAAACUAUUACUUUGUGGGUUUGUUUGUUUUUGUCUUUUUAGGGCCGCACCUGAGGCAUAUGGAAGUUCCUAGGCUAGGGGUGGAAUCUGAGCCGCAGCUGCCAGCUCAUGGCUCAUCCUUAACCCAUUGAGCGAGGCCAGUGAUCAAACCUGCAUCCUCAUGGAUACUAGUCAGAUUCGUUACUGCUGAGCAACAACAGGAACUCCCAAACUAUUACAUUUAGAAUGGCUAAGCAAUGAGGUCCUACUGUACAGCACAGGGAACUCCAUCCAAUCUCCUGGGAUAGAACAUGAUGGAAGAUAGUAUAAGAAAAGGAAUGUGUGUGUGUGUGUUUGUGUCACUUUGUUGUAUAGCAGAAAUUGCACAACAUUAUAAAUAAACUAUGCUUCAAUAAAAAAAAAA
rnacentral:lncRNA from 1 species